GUAGAGUAGUGACGAGGUCAGGUCAGGGCCCUACUGGAAAAUAAUAAGAAACUAAGCAAAAGAUAUAAUGAUAAAGUAAAAUGACAGGGAAGUGAAACGAUAAGAACUUGCGGAAGGUAAUAACACGGAAUCAAAGGAAACAAAUACAACACGGAAGAAAGCAAGAAUCUUACAAAUUAAGAAAAUAACAACAACAAUACAUCAAAUAAAGGAAAUCAACAUGGGCACUCCCGAGGUACCGCAUCAUAGUCCCAAAUGUAAAAUAACUCACAAUCUUUCUGUUAAUUAUAAGUUUGAAUGAUAAAAAAUAAUAUAUCACAUUUGGUGCAGGAUCACAAGGAAUAAAACAAAGGAAUCAAGAAGACAUACCAGUCAAGAAUAGAUUAAUGAAACAAUCAAUUAAUGGGAGGAGCUCUAAAAGCAACAUAAGGAAAAGAAUCAAUGAUUAGCGCUAAAAAAGGAAGAAGCAAUGGAGAUCCGGAAAAGAAUCAAUUAGUGAUUCUGUAAAUGAUUGACGGAAGCUAUUACUGGAAGGUCCCAAAUUAAAGGAAAACGAGAUCGUAAAGGGAUGCACUGAAGAUCGCUGAAGUUGAAAAUCAAUGGAUCUAUCACAAACCACUAAAGUAACGAAAAGAUAUGUCUAGCGGAUGAAAAGCUCGUCAAGACCACAAAUCAAGGAAGAUCAACAGAAACGUGACCUUAUUCUUGGAAAGAAUCAAUCUGUGAUUUCUUUCAAGGAUCAACUCCCUUGGGUUUGCAAUCUCUCAGGAUUCACGAGUUAAGAAGGCCUCAUAAAGUGUAUAUAUACAUAUGUUCCAGACUUGAAGAGGAUAUACUUUGAACGAACCAUUUUCACUCCUUUUAUUCUACUCCAAACAAGCAUUGUAAUUCUUGUAGAUCUAUUGUAUAAUUGGUGAGAGAAGAAAAAGAGAUAAGCACUGGUGAUACAUUGUAUCAAGCAAAGAAGUGACAUAGAGAUCAAACUGUUAGUGUAAAGCUACAUCAACCAUUUUGUACUCAAGAAACUUCGAUCACUGAAAGAGAACACCCUUGCAACCCUAGGGGACUAGAUUAGGAUUCACAUUGAAUUCGAACAAGUAUAAAAUUCUGGUGUCUUUAUUUCCUGCAUUUUAUUUUUGCAUUACUAUUAUAUUGUUCUUAUUUUUAGUCGACUAAUUGGUAAACUAGUUAUCUACUUAUAAUAUAAUUUUUAAAUAGGAAAUUCAACCCCCUCCCCCUCUUGUAUUUUCAAUUAGUAUCAGAACGAGUCUCACACUUUUUGCUUAACAGCUUGUGAGAAAAGAUCAUGGCAAAUCAAGUAAUUGUUGGAGCACUCUUUAAAGAAGGAACAUUGCAAGUUAGCCCAACAUACUUCAAUGAACAAUACUUUUUUAACUGGAAAGUGUGUAUGGAAAUAUAUGCAAAAUCCUAUGAUGUCAAAGUAUGGCGCGUUAUCAAAAAGGAGAACUAUCCACUACCAGUAACUACUCAACCCCCUGUUGAUCUAGAAGAUAUAGAUGAGUACACAAACGAGCAAAUGGCAGUUGUUCAAGUCAAUGCUAAAGCACGAAAUUUACUCUAUAAUGCUAUAAGUGGAGAGGAAUAUGAGAAAAUCUCAAGUUGUGAUACAGUCAAAGAAAUGUGGGAUAAACUGAAAGUUACUUAUGAAGGAACAUGCAAAGUGAAAGAAACUCACAUUAACAUAUUGGUUCAUGACUAUGAGCUCUUCUAGAUGAAAGAAGGAUAAUCCAUUGAGGAAAUGUUUGCAAGGUUCAGCAAAAUUAGCGAUCUAAAAGCUUUUGGUAAACUAUACUCAAGUGGUGAUCAAGUUCGGAAAAUUCUAAGGAGUCUACCUACCACUUGGCAGAUAAAAGUAGUUGCACUCGAAUCACAAUAUCUUAACAAACUUUCAUAUGAUGAGCUUCGAGAAGAUCUUAUAGCAUUUGAGAAAACUCACCUCAAGAAAACAAACCAGGAAGAAAAGAAGAAAACAGUCGCAUUCAAAAUUACAACUGAAAGACCAGAAAAUGAUAUUGAUGACGACCCAAAAGCUCUUGAAGAAACGAUUGCCAUGGUAUCAAGGAACAUAGAUGGUUUAAUGAGAAAAUACAGAAACACAAGAAGAGUUAGGAUGCCCCCAAGGAGAACCAGGUAAUAUAAUGAACAAGACAAGAAUGAUGGAAAAUAUUAUAAGUAUGGAGGAUAUGGGCAUGUUCAAGCUGAAUGCCCAGAUCUUAAAAGAAAAGUUUCCAGAGGAUUCAAUAAAAACAAAUCUUUUGGAAGCUGGAGUGGUAAAGAUAGUUCGAAACACGAGAAAAUAGCAAAUCUAUGCUUCAUGACAAUCCCGAAAAAUGACAUGAACAAACUCUCGGGCUGCUGGACUGAUAAAGAUGCAUCUGACGACAAAUGCGAAGAUGAUAAUGAAAAUUGUUUCAUGGCACGAGGUGAAACAAGCGAGGUAAGAUCUUAUAACUGUGGUAGAUAUAAUGAAUUGCAUGAUAUUCUUGACUUUACUCUAAAAGAGUCUCAAAAAAUGAUGAAUGAACUAAGGAAACUCAAUAGGGAAAAGAAAUACUGGAAACUCAAGCUUGAAGUAUGUGAAAUUGAAAAAGAGGUACUUCAAGAUGAAGUUCAGGAAUUGCAAAUGCAACUUAAUGGCAUGCGCAAAUUCACCAGUCACAGUUAUGUCAAGUCUAACCAUGCGACUUACAAGUCAACUGGAAAAAGGACUGGUUAGAACUGAGUCCACAAAUACUAACGCAAGUGGAAUGUCAAAAAAAGAACCAGCCCCUAUGUGUCACUACUAUAAUAAAAGUGGACAUAAAUACUCUUUCUGUCGAUUUCAUAAAUCUAAUGUUUCAGGAUGGAUUUGGAAACCAAAAAACAAUCCUGAUCUUAGUAGAACUAACCAACUAGGACCCAAGCAAGCUUGGGUACCUAAAAGAAAGUGAUAAUUUUGUUUUGCAGGAAUACCACAAUAAGAGUCGCAAAGGAAAAUGGUACUUAGACAGUGCUUGUCCCAGUCACAUGACAGGUGAUAAAAACAUGUCCAAAGAAGUUACAAAGAUAAAUGAAGGAAGUGUCAAAUUUGGCGAUGACUCAAAAGGAAAGAUAAUUGGCACUGGCACAGUUCCAUUCAAUAACAACUGUGAUAUUGCUGAAGUGUAUCUUGUAGAUGGACUCAACUACAAUCUUCUGAGUAUAAGUCAUCUAUGUGAUUUAGGGUACGAAGUUAAAUUCAAGAAAACAGGCUAUGCUACUGAAGAUGAGACAAGUAAAAUAAUACUCCUAGGAAAAAGAUAUGGAAAUAUUUAUAGUCUUGAUGGUUUUGAAAAUCUAGAUAGUCACAUCUGUUUAGCAUCUAUAUUUGAUGAUCCUUGGUUAUGGCAUAAGAAACUUGGUCAUGCAAGCAUGCAUCUUAUUGAGAAACUCUCCAAGUAUGAUUUAGUUAUUGGUCUCCCUAAACUCAACUUUUCUAGAAAUUAUGUAUGUGAUGCAUGUCGAAUUAGUAAAUAAAUCAGAAACUCCUUCAAAAAUAAAGACAUUGUGUCUACCACCAAGCCUUUACAAUUGCUCCAUAUGGAUUUGUUUGGACCCACUAGAACUGCUAGCAUAGGAGGAAAGCGAUAUGCUUUUGUUAUUGUUGAUGACUACUAACGUUUUAAAUGGGUAAUUUUUCUAUCUCACGAAGAUGAAGCUUUGAAAAACUUUGAGAUUUUCUGUAAGAGAGUUGAAAGAGAAAAUGGGUACCUUAUUACAACUAUUCAAAGUGAUCAUGGAGGAGAAUUCGAAAGAAGAGCAUUUGAAGAUUUCUGCAAUAAUCAAGGAUAUACUCUACAAGAUAUGGCCAGAGCAAUGAUAUUAGAAUACUCCUUGCCAAACCACUUUUGGGCAGAAGCAGUAAGCACAGCCUGCCACAUUCCCAACAGAUGCCUUAUAGGACCUAUUUUUGAAGAAGACUCUAUAUGAACUAUGGAAAGGUAAACGGCCCAACAUAGGUUGUUUCCAUCCUUUUGGCAACAAAUAUUUUAUCCACAAUAACGGUAAAGACAAUCUUGGAAAAUUUGCUCAAAGAAGUAAUGAAGGUAUUUUUCUGGGUUAUUCCAUUAACACUAGAUCUUUUAGAGUUUAUAACAAGUUCAAUAUAUCUGUAGAAGAAUCAGUCAUGUCAUAUUCAAUGAAAAUAACCCUACGACCGAGAAAGGAAUUAUUGUAGGUGAUGAAGAUAUCAAUUAAGAAGCACCUCAGUCAAGCAAACUUCAAAAGUCGAUUGAUAGGCUAGACGGUGUCACAGAGUCAACUAAUGAGCCUAUCAACAGUCAACCAGAAUCAUAGAAGGAGUCAACUACUCAUAUGAUUUCAACACGUCCAAAUGAGUAGAGAAAUGAACUGAAAUAUCCUUAAAAGUUUAUCAUAGGAGAUCUAAGUGAAGGAAUGAAAACCAGGGGAGCUCUUAAGAAAUGGCAAAUGUAGCACUCAUCUCCCAAAUUGAACCAAAGAAAGUUGAGGAAGCCCUAAAAGAUUCCAGCUGGGUACAAGUAAUGUAGGAAGAACUCGAUCAACUUGAUAAGAACCAAGUUUGAAAACUGCUGCCUAAGCCUGCAGAUGCUACUGUAAUUGAAACAAAAUGAGUUUUUAGAAAUAAGCUUAAUGAAGAUGGAAAGGUUGUGAGAAACAAAGCCAGAUUAGUAGCUCAAGGAUACUCACAACAGGAAGGAGUGACUACGAUGAAACCUUUGCACCAGUAUCUCGACUAGAGUCUAUCCGAAUUCUUCUUGCAUACGCAUUCUUCAAACGAUUUAGACUUUUUCAGAUGGAUGUCAAAAGUGCCUUUUUAAAUGGCUUUAUUUAUGAGGAGGUAAUGUAAAACAACCUCCUAGUUUUGAAGACUCAAAAUUCCCUUACCAUGUGUAUAAGUUGACUAAAGCUCUAUAUGGACUCAAACAAGAUCCACGAGCCUAGUACGAAAGGCUCAGUUCAUUUUUACUUGAUCAUGGGUUUAUAAGAGGUAAAGUAGAUACUAUAUUAUUUGUCAAAAGAUCAUCAGAAGGUAAUCUUAUUAUUCAAGUUUAUGUUGAUGAUAUUAUCUUUGGAAGUGCUAACCCUCUUUUGUGCAAGGAAUUAGCUAGUCUUACGCAAAGUGAGUUUGAAAUGAGCAUGAUGGGAGAGCUUACGUUUUCCUUGGACUUCAAAUUCAACAAUCUGAAGAAGGAAUGUUUGUGUUCCAGACAAAAUAUACAAAGUAGUUAAUUCAAAAGUUUGGUAUGAGCAGUUAAUUCAGAAGUUCAGUAUGAGCAGUGCUAAAGCAAUUGGUACGCCAAUGAGCCCGUCAACAAAUCUUGACAAGGACGAAAAGGAAACACUAUUGACGAAGCUAAAUAUCGUGGAAUGAUUGGCUCUUUGCUUUACUUAACUACCAGUCGACCAAAUAUUAUGUUUAGUGUAUGUAAAUGUGCCAGGUUUCAGUCAGUUCCUAAGGAGUCGCCUUUGACUUCAGUAAAGAGAAUAAUUCGUUAUCUCAUCGGAACUAUUUCUUAUUGACUAUGGUAUCCAUGUUCUAACAAUUUUAAGCUGGAAGGUUUUUUAGAUGCUGAUCUUGCAGGUGAUAAGGAAGACAGAAAAAGCACUAGCAGAACAUGUCAACUGCAUUAUCCACAACGAAAAUAUAUUGCCAUUGGACAAUGUUGUGCACAAUUACUAUAGAUGUCUCAUCAACUGGGUGACUAUGAACUAUUUUUUAAACCUAUUCAAAUAUUUUGUGAUAACUCUAGUGCUAUAUGUCUCUCAAAGAAUCUUGUGCAUCAUUCUAGGGCUAAGCAUAUGGACAUCAAGAUCAUUUCAUUAGAGAUCAUGUUUGGCACCACUGAUCAAUUAGCAGACAUUUUCACGAAGCCUUUACUUGAAGAUAGAUUUUGCUCCCUAAGAAAACUACUUGGUAUUAUUUCUCUUGAUCAUAAAGAUUAGGACCUAUGUGUUAGUUCUAAUUCAUAUGUGUCUAAUAUUUUUAAUUUUGUUUUUUUUUGUGUAAGAAUGCAUUAAUUUAGUGCCUCCGAUUUUCCUCUCUUUUUCCAUCAGUCGUAACUUUCAAGAAAGGAAAAUCAAUCAUCAUAACCCUUUACUGGGACACCCUUUCCUUUCCUACACUCAACCAUAAAAUCUCGUCCUUCUUAAUCCUCUAAACUACUCUUCUCUAUCUUUAUUAUUUCUAUCGCUCAGAUACCUUCCUAAAAAAUCCUUCAAACUCUUCCUCAAAAUUUUUCCAUGGCUAAACACUUUAAGAAUCUGUUUGCCUCCACUAGAAAAAGUACUCGUUCCAAGGGAAAACCCUUUUCUCAGCCCCCAAAACAGGUAGACAUAGGGUCUGAUUACUCAGAAGGGUUUGCCUCUUCUCAGGUAGAACUUUCAGACCACUCUCACCAAAUAGGAGAAAAAGCCCUUGGAAAAAGUCUUAUGGAAGACCCCCAAGAAAUCUAAAGUAGACCUCUCGAGUUCUCUAGAGUCCAACCUCUCUGGGAUACCUUAAAUAGGGAUUUCUUUAUUUCUCUGAAAGACAAGCCCAUUGCUCAUGGCAGAGUAGUCGACCUUGACGAUAUUUCGACUCUCAACUGCAAGGUAAAUGAUCUAUUUAUUUUUAAAGGAUGGUCUAAAUUCCUCUCUAUAACCCCUCCUAAAGUCUAUGAACCUUUAGUGAUAAUGUUUUAUGCAAAUCUUAGCUCUAGCAAGCCUGAUAAGUUAAAAUCCUUAGUUUUAGGAAAAGGCAUUGUCCUUGAUUGUGCCAUGUUUGACUCAAUUUUUCAGUAUAAGUGCUUCGAUUUUUCUAUGCUUUUCAAGAAUACUUGGCCUGAUGAUUUUGAAAUUUCUUUUGAUCAAGCAAAGUGUUGUAUUGCUGAGUGUCCAUCUGAUUUCCUUCCUAACCAGUUAGGUCCUAGUGAUGUUAGUUUUGAAACCCGAGUUCUGACCCACAUUGUUGCAACUACUCUUCUUCCUCAUACUGGAUCAUUCUCCAUCUUCUCACAAUGAGAUACCUUUCUUGUCUACUGUCUUGUGACCAAACUCAAGGUUAAAUUAUCCUCAUGGGUCAUAAAUGUCAUGAUUGAGAGUGUUGAUUGUCACACCUCCUUUUUACCACCCGAGAGCAGAUAUAAGAGAGUUUUUCCAAUUAAAGUGACAUUAAUCAAAAUGAGAUUAUUUAUUUAAUUUUUUAGAGUUACCACUUGGAAUAGUUCAUGGUCUCCCAAGUCACCUGUUUAUUUUAAAAUCCCAAAUCGAGAAAAUUUCUACUUUAUUUUAAAAGCCUGCGAAUCAGAAAUUCUGUUAACCCGGGAGAAGGUGUUAGACAUUUUCGAGUUCCGUGGUUCUAGCACGGUCGCUUAAACUAUUAAUAUUGGCCUAUUAUUUGAUUUACUAUAUGUUUUAAACCUAUUGUGCAUUUUUUAACUUUAUAACCAUUUUUAAUUAUUUUAACCCACGUUUAGAAUUUAUGGAAUUAUUUCUUUAAUAAGUUACGAUUGUCGUACACUUGCCAUUUUGGAACACGCCACGAACCACGCUACAUGAAAUGCACCCGCGAUUCGUGACAUGUUUAUUUUAUUAAAAUUCGAAGUUGUUAUGAUUGGGUUACAUGAAAUGCACCCCCGAAUUUGGGAAUUAGGUAUCAUAACUAUGUCACAGGAACCAUACUCAUAGUCACGAUGAUUUAUUAAUUGCGCCUAAAGCAAGCUACAAUGUAUUUAUAAGUGAUUAUUUCCGAAGCUUGUUUGAAAUUGUUUGUGAAGUCCUUGAUUAAUGAAUAUGUUUGUGAAAGAAGUGUAAAACUUAGCUAUUUAGUAUUAUUCACAAGCCGUCUACACUUGUAGAUUCAAUUGCCACUUAAGACGUACCAAAUCCAAAUUAUAUAACAAAGCCAUUGACCCCAUGAAAAGAACUUCUCUUUAUUCCUUUCUAACCACAGUGUAGAUGAACAAUCAGACAACUCAAAUAAACACAUAAUGAUAACUAUCAAUAAAUAUUUAGUGCAAAAGGUGAGUCUAAAGCUUUGGAAGGAAUAAGAAUACACACUUUAAUUAGUCAGUUCCAAAUCAAACUCAUAUGAAUAAAAGUUCUAUUCAUUAAAUUAUCUAUCACUCAAACCUUAAGUACCAAAUUAACAAAUUAUGAGAAUAAACUAAAGAUCCAAAUUCUAAACCGUGCGUGACUUUACCACUUAAGAAUAAAAUGACAGAAUAGCCUAAUAGACACCUCUACUUGUCCCGUUUUGAGAUCCCGGCCCCCAUACCUUACGAAGUUUCAUUCAGGCAUCUCAAGUUAUUAAAAGCAACUCUUUUAAACCCCUUUGACCUCGCGUGCUUCAAACACAUGAUGUGGAUGACACGUCAGUGUCCAACUCAAAUUCUCUAUGCCAUAUCAUCAUUUUUCACUUUAUUUCAAAAUUUUCACUAUCCAAUUUCACUCAAUAUUUUCCCUGACAUCUACUCGUCCCUUCUCUACCCAAAAAUGGACCGUUUUCCUCCACUAACCCACCUUCACAAUUCCCAAAAUUCACCAACAACCAUUUUUCAAAAGCUCACAAAUAAAUAAAAACCAUUCCAAAAUCCUUACUAAUUGCGCCCCACUCAUAAAAAAACACUCUUGGAACUAUGCAAUUCCUACUAUGCAGUGGAUACAUUGAUCAUAUUGAUGAUGAUUCCAAGAUAUUAUUUCAACAAGAAGACCCAGAUGCUCUUGAGCAUUUUAAUGAUAAAAAAUUAUUUAAACUAGAGAAAACUCAUGUUUAUUUGCGUCUCCACCUUCUCAUAUUUCCAUUAAAUCUCAUCAACUGCCCUAGAUCGCUGUUCAAUGAGCUGUUGUUUACUAAUUUACCUUCAGAUUAUGUUUUCUUCUUUUAAAAAUAAAAUAGAAGCAAGAAUCCGAGGUGGAAUACAACUCUUCUACGGUAUCGAAGCAAUGGAUCUGCGAUGAGUUUGAAAUAAGAGCAGGAAAUCUUUUUGUUGUUGCUCCGUCUAACAGUUGUUCUUGCCUGUAUUUUGAGACUGAAGAGUAUAGGAAGAUGCGAGGGUGUGGCAGAAGAGUAUGAGGGUAAAGAAGAGUACAGACAAGAGAAUUCGUGAUGGUGGGGGAAGAGUACGGGGAAGGGAAUGGGAAAGUUUUCUUAGCAAUUUUUUUAACUUUCUUUUCUUUUUAUCUUUAUUUUAAUCUUUUUAAAAUUAAAUUCAUUAUUUCCACUCGCUUUAUAUGUGAGCAUUUCACAUAUUUCGUCCAACUCUAACGGCUUAGCACCACAUAAGCUUGGUCAAUGGUCGGACGGAUUUAAAAAAGUUAAUUUGAACGAGUUGAGGUUCCUGAAUGAAACUUCGUAGGGUAUGGGGACCAGGAUCUCAAAACGGGACAAGUAGAGAUGUCUAUUAGGCUAUUUAACAUGUCCAUCAAUUUUACAAAGAAAUAUGGAAGGGCUGAAAAAUAGCAAACAUAUCACAUGCCUUUUAUAAAUCUAAAAUAGGAGAGUGAAAAUAUUGAACAAAGUAAAGAACAAGAGAAAGGACCUUUAUUGAUGAACAAAGCUGAAAAUUGCAAGUCAAUCGGGCUAAACAAAACAACAAUCCUUGGACCAAAAUGCCGAAAUUACAAACCGGGACCUCGAAUCGACACCAGAAAGCCCGAAAUCAACACGGCCUCAAUCAAACUCCAUCGGAUUCCAUGGUUUCAAAAUUGAAAGUUAGAAGAAGAAGCUCGUUAACACCAAGUUGUCCGACCUUCCCACGUCCAACGAACCAACCGAACGAUCCCACUCUUGAGAAAAAUAUGAAGCAACAGACUGUAGUUAAACUCAUCUCCUUAUUUUAAUAUAUCAUUGGUCAUAAGAGCAAGCACCUAAUUUCUUUUCCAGAUGAAUAUCCUUAUAUAAUUGUCAAAGAAAGAGUUCUAAUACGUAGCUCAAAUUCUUUCUUUCUUUUCCUCGGUGCCGUUAAUUUCUUUCCUCAAAGCCUCCUUUGAUUUUUCCAAUUCCCACUCCCCUAUCCCUCCCCUGUUUUUGACAUCUUUUAUUUGAUUAGAAGGGAGGUUAGGUGCUGGGAUUUUGGGAAUUAGGUUCUAGCAUUUUUU
rnacentral:lncRNA from 1 species